GGGCCCGCACAAGCGGUGGAGCAUGUGGUUUAAUUCGAUGCAACGCGAAGAACCUUAUCCAGGGUUUGACAUGCACGGAUCAACCCCAUGAAAGUGGGGCCACACCCGCAAGGGCGGAACGUGCACAGGUGCUGCAUGGCUGUCGUCAGCUCGUGCUGUGAAGUGUCGGGUUAAGUCCCUCAACGAGCGAAACCCCUGUCGCUAGUUGCCAGCAGGUAAAGCUGGGGACUCUAGCGAGACUGCCGGUGUCAAACCGGAGGAAGGUGGGGAUGACGUCAAGUCCUCAUGGCCUUUAUGCCCUGGGCUGCACACGUGCUACAAUGGUGGGUACAAAACGAUGCAAGACCGCGAGGUGGAGCAAAUCGCCAAAACCCGCCCCAGUUCGGAUUGCAGGCUGCAACUCGCCUGCAUGAAGUCGGAAUCGCUAGUAA
rnacentral:rRNA from 1 species